CAAAAACAUUGCCCCUUGAUAAUAAAUGAGGGGUAUCUCCUGCCCAGUGACAUUAAGUUCAACGGCCGCGGUAUCCUAACCGUGCAAAGGUAGCAUAAUCAUUUGCUCAUUAAUUGUGGGCUAGAAUGAAAGGAUAAACGAAAUAUAUACUGUCUCUGCAAGAUUAGUAAAAAUUAAUCUCUAAUUGAAGAAAAUUAGAUAUUGUUGAAGGACAAGAAGACCCUAUAGAGCUUAAUUCUUCAUAUAUUCUCAGUAUAAUUAAAAAUUCGGUUGGGGCGACCCGGGAAGUUUAAAAUCAUCCCUAAUAUACAGAUUUAUUAAUCUAAAUUUAGACCCUUACACAAGAUCUCAAGAUCAAGCUACCUUAGGGAUAACAGGCUAAUCUCACUAAAGAGUUCUUAUCUAUAGUGAGGUUUGGCACCUCGAUGUUGGCUUAGGGAAUCCAUACGGCGCAAAAGUCGUAUAAGAUGGUUUGUUCAACCAAUAACACCCUACAUGAUCU
rnacentral:rRNA from 1 species